CUUGCUAUUGAAUUACGAUAGACAUGUAUAAAGAUAGUUACAAGGUUUUAAAGGAAUUAAGUUACGAAUGGUAGGCGUGAUGGAGAUCUGCAACAAACCAAUCGGAUAAUUGAAGACGGAAAAAACGUCCGACUCUAUACGCCUAGAUACUGCAAGAAGUGUACAUAUAAUAAUAAUGGAAACUGGCAAUAACUUCAGUACAGUGGUGCUUGU